GUGCGGACUCCGAUCUUAGAGGUCGGAUGUGGAUGUUUCGGGAUUCACCGAACUAGAUUCCUGACUGAUUCACCACAGGGUGGACUUUGGGGAACACGACUGAGAAACGGGUACUACGUCAGCGAAAACUGGCCCCAGAACAGGAGGGAGUGUGGUGCCAGCUGUCCUCUCUGUGAAAUCCACGCUGUGUCCGGGAGCGUGGAUUUCAUGGAAUUCCUCCCUUUGUGACAGGCCUCAAUGCCUUCUGAAGUGUCUCCUAUGCAGAUUCUACAUAAAGAGUGUUUCCAUACUGCUGAAUUAAAAGU
rnacentral:lncRNA from 10 species